rnacentral:lncRNA from 1 species
UAAUACUAUUUUAAAAUGGGGAAAGCUUCUACAAGCACCUUGGUCAGUUCCAGGUGUAGAAGUUACAUAGUAGAUCAGAACCACAACUUUUAACUUCAACAAGUAGUACCAAAACAAGCAUCUACAUUGUAUAAAAUAACAACACAACACUAGCAUACUUGAAAGGUGUUUAUACCACACUACUAACAAAUCACAACACAGACUUACUUGCAGCACUGAGGAAUAACUUCUUCUCAGUAAAGUCACAACUUGAAGCAGUUUUUCUUAUGAAAAACAAAACAAAACAAAAAACACAGAAGUUUUCUUCAACAAAACACCACUAGCAUUCUGUUAUCUCAAUACCAGUGAGGCACAGCAGGAGAUACUUAGGCCAUAUGUUGUACGGCUGCUCUGUGUUAUUAUCUGCCUCACCUGGUAAGGGUGAGGUAAAACUAUUUCCCUCCUUUUCCACUGUUCAAAAGAGCUUAACAAAGUCUGAGGAAAAUGCCUUGACUCUCCUUAUCCUGUAAUGGGGGAUGCACCCUGCCAUCAUGUUAUCUCACUGUGCUCUGCAGUGGAAGUUUCCAGAAAGCACUGAGCAGGGCAGGGCUGUGCUGCUAGGCCUAGGUGAAAUGGCGGCGUUUCCACAACCUGCACAGGCUGUGAGGAGCACUUCAGUCUGUGACACCACAGGAAAGCUCACUGUGAAGGAGAAUACCACCUUGCUUUGCUGCUUUGUCGCUGCUAAUGGUAAAUUUUAA